rnacentral:tRNA from 1 species
GCCUCGGUAGCGUAGUGGAUAACGCGGCUGUCUUCUAAACAGUUAUAGGCAGGUUCGAUUCCUGUCCGGGGUAC